UAAACCAGAUUUAAACCGGUCCAAACGUAGUGCAUUCGAAUCAACAUAUCAACCAAAAGCAAAGUUCCAAAUAGAGGGAACCCCGUCUUCUCCUUCUCACCUUAUGCUAUUUGUUCCCGUGUUCGAGUCCAAAGAGAGGAAUCCAAGAGCGAAUAUAGCUUUUGGCAUAAUACUUUGAGAGAGGGAAUUCAAGAGAUCGAUCAAAGGGAAAAAGACGUUUGCUACUUCUCUUGUUUGUGAUGGCUCUAUAUGAUCAUCAUUCGGAUGAGAAUGAUUGAUUGAGAAAAUGCCCGAGAACGAGUGAAAAAUCGGCAUUGCAAGCUUGAGAAGGUUCCAAUAUUUUUGUGAAUCGAUCGUUUGAUAAAGCUCCAACAUCAAUCCUUUUCCUUAUCUAAUAGUUCAACCAAGAGAAGGCAGACAUGGAUUGAUUGUUCACUUGGAUCAGAGAUCUGGGAACCAUGAAUUGGUUGUUCCCAUCCUAGAGAACUAUACACCAAAUAAAACAAGGAUGAUCAAGGAAUGGUUUCAAUUGAACACGUGCUUCCAAGAAUCCAGCUAAAACUUGCGUUCUAAUGUACUGCUUGGCUGCAAGAAAAAGACAAUUUGUUUACUUUAAGAGAUCUCCCCAAAAUUGAGAUUCUACUAAGGUUGGAUUGAGUUUUUUUACCUUAUCUAUGUUUUCUACAGCAAGAUGAGAAAUCUGAACUACAGUUUUUUUUUACCUUAUCUAUUUUGUGUAAAAGUGAAUUUUUUCAUCCAUACAAUUGUUGAUAUUGCGUCAUUAUUAGUGCAUUGGACAGCGGUCCAUCCUGAAUUUGAAGGUGUCAAUAGGGCUGCAUCUGGGUCAAAUUUUUGGUUGAUAUUGAAAUACUUUUCUUCUUUAUUAUGACAUCAUGGUGGUCAAAUUCAGGUUUGAUUUUGAAUAUAAUAUUCUAGGCCAAAUGAAUAUUUGGAUUAUAUUGUUGAUA